CCUACGGGAGGCAGCAGUGGGGAAUAUUGCACAAUGGGGGGAACCCUGAUGCAGCGACGCCGCGUGGGUGAGGAAGUACUUCGGUAUGUAAAGCCUUAUCAGCAGGGAAGAAAAUGACGGUACCUGACUAAGAAGCCCCGGCUAACUACGUGCCAGCAGCCGCGGUAAUACGUAGGGCGCAAGCGUUAUCAGGAUUUACUGGGUGUAAGGGGAGAGUAGACGGCGUGCCAAGUCGGGUUUGAAAGGCUGGGGCACAACCCCGGCAGUGGUUGGGAAACGGCUAUGCUGGAGUGCCGGGGGCAAGCGGAAUUCCUAGUGUAGCGGUGAAAUGCGUAGAUAUUAGGAGGAACACCGGUGGCGAAGGCGGCUUGCUGGACGGUAACUGACGUUGAGGCUCGAAAGCGUGGGGAGCAAACAGGAUUAGAUACCCUAGUAGUC
rnacentral:rRNA from 1 species